rnacentral:tRNA from 1 species
CGGCUGCGUGGAGAAGUUGUUUCCCCACGUAUGGUGGACGUGGGUUUCACCGUGGCACCCGGUGGCAGCAUC